rnacentral:rRNA from 1 species
AGGACGAACGCUGGCGGCGUGCUUAACACAUGCAAGUCGAGCGGUAAGGCCCUUCGGGGUACACGAGCGGCGAACGGGUGAGUAACACGUGAGCAAUCUGCCCUCCACAUCGGGAUAACCCCCGGAAACGGGAGCUAAUACCGGAUACGACCACUUCAGGCAUCUGAUGGUGGUGGAAAGUUCUGGCGGUGGAGGAUGAGCUCGCGGCCUAUCAGCUUGUUGGUGGGGUAAUGGCCCACCAAGGCUUCGACGGGUAGCCGGCCUGAGAGGGUGACCGGCCACACUGGGACUGAGACACGGCCCAGACUCCUACGGGAGGCAGCAGUGGGGAAUAUUGGACAAUGGGCGAAAGCCUGAUCCAGCAACGCCGCGUGAGGGAUGACGGCCUUCGGUUGUAAACCUCUUUCAGCGCAGACGAAGCGAAAGUGACGGUAUGCGCAGAAGAAGCACCGGCCAACUACGUGCCAGCAGCCGC